rnacentral:sRNA from 1 species
GCCAGGCAUGGUGGUGCAUGCCUGUAAUCCCAGCAGCUUGGGAGGCUGAGGCAAGAGGAUCACAAAUUCAAAACCAGUCUCUG